ensembl:lncRNA
CGAAACCGUCAGUGCUUUUAUUGUGAAAAGCUGUUUCCGUGUCAUACCGGAAGCGGUGGGCUUGAUGCUGAGAGCUUCAUGUUGCCGGUCAGCAGAAGGUCAGCCAACAGCAGCAACAGCAGCAGCAGCGGAUAGUUGUCGGUCAGGUAGCACGAAGUUAACGAUCGAUCGGUUAAUCGGCUCCGUUUGUGCUCUUUGGGCGGGAAACCGGCAGCUUCCGGUCAGUGUCUACCAAACUAAUGCUAACAGGCUAACUAUUAGCUGCUAGCAUGCAGUGCGCGCACCCCAUGAAGAAGAGAAGUCUGGAGGCGGAGCCGCGCAACUCCAAAGCGGUAAGACCUGAGGAGGAGGAGGAGGAGGAGGAGCAGUUUAUUAGGAGUAGCCGGGGUCAUCAGAGUUUUUGGACAAAAACAGUAAUAACUUUAUUUAAACAGUUUACAGAGACACGAGCCAAACAAAAACCAUAGAAGAAGAAACAUCAGCGAAAUAAGAGAACUACAAAAUAUAAAAACUACAAAGUGACAUCAGUCCUGAGCCUCUUCAAGUACAUCAAGUACAUCUGCAGGAACAUCUGCAGCUUCUCGGUUGCUUGGAGCUCUUAUUUGAACCUUCAGAUGUGGCUCUGUUCCUCUGAUCUUCGUACCUCAGCCUUUCCUCCUCGUUCCCUUCAUUAAGAACGGCUUCCUGAUGGGCUAAAGGUCCAAAUCAUCUCCCGGGUCCUGUGUCGGGUCUUCAGAACCCGUUCCUCUGCUGUGGAGAUUUUAGGCCUCACACUUCUUCUUCUGUCCAGCUUCCUAAGAAGUCGAAGCGCACCACGCUGAGAUAAGCAGAGCUUUCAGCUGACAGCUCUCUGGGAGUCGCACUUUCUCCCUUAUCUUUCCUGCUUGGCUUUCAUGUCCUUUGUAUAGUCUCGCUUAUUCUCUAACCCUAAGAGAGUCUCCCAGACUUGUUCUCUAAAAACCUAAAGAAGAAAUAUGGAUUUGAUCAACUGGUCCCUUAAUGGAAUUGAUACCCUUGGGAGAGCCCGAUUGUCCUGCGGAGACGUUUGCUGCCGGAUACUCGAUGGUCGGUUGCGUCGUGUGUCUGACGACGCUCGAUGGAGGACAAUGAACGACAUCUACCAAUUCAGAACCACGAUAACAGAGUUCUGGCUGAUUGGAGCUGGUUCAGCUUAUUGAAGAACAAGAAGCGGCUACAGCUGUUCAAAAUCCCACCAGGCUGGCCGACAUGACAGACGAUGGGCAGGGCUGCGAGUAAGACUGUGUUUAUUGAACGCAAUAUGGAUACGAUCUUGGAGAAGAACGGGAAUUGAGAGACCUGGUGACCAGUGACGGACAUUAGACCAACUGUAAAAUUGGAAGCAGUUUGUUUGCCCCAAAACAGCUGCCAUCUCCAUCAUGAAGAUGCUCAGGGCACAAGCUGACGGGAAUAACAAAACUCUCCUUUAGAUAAUAAGACUGUUUGUUGUGACUCUCUCCCUCCUCAUUCAAGGCCGCCCGUGUCGACCGAAGAUUGUUGACUUUUGCUUAACCUUUCUCUCGGCUGAACACACGCAUGCACACGCACACACACACACACAUGUGCAUGUACACUGACACAGAGCUUCAUGGAUUCAUUAAAGAAACGGGAACGCUGACGUGUUUCUGUGACGGGAAACAACGGGUCAGAGGGGACGUGAGACGCUGCAUGUAGAGGUAACUCUGUAUGUGAAGUUGGGGUUUUGAAAACAUGUUUAGCACAAUCUUGUGUCGGUACAACUGUUUGCUUGUGUUGGGAACAUUUUGCUUUUUGCAUAAAGUUGGCUGAUGGCAGCACGUGAACAUCUGCUUUGCAGGCUCGAUGAGGAACAGCUGCAGACUCCAGCAUGUCGGUCUGACACAGUCCUCGUUUAUAAAGUGCGUUACAAACACCAGCAUCACGGCCAACAGCUGGAUGUUCCUGUUUGAGUGCAGCCAGCCAAACAGCCACUUCCUGUUUACAGUUUAUCCUGGUUUAACAUGGACUCACUGCUGCAGCACCACAGUGAUCCCCUCACACUGCUGUUUACUUUCCUCAGGUAUAACAUAAACUAAUGUGAGCCUGUGAGCCCGGCCAACCAACCGCGUGACGUCACACUCCGUGCUGACAGAAGAUGGCGCUGAACAUGUUUUUAACACUUGAAGCACUGAUUUCUUAAAGCCAGCGUCACAGACAGAGUGACAGCUGUGGGAGUGUCUGAGAGCAGGUCCGUGGGGUAAAGGAGGUGUGCACCACUGAGGGCUGACGGAGGCCACUCAGUGACUUCUUCAUGACCUCUGUGGUUGCGUGCUGUACUUCUGGAUUACCAAAACGCAAGUUUAGAAGGAAAGUGACACACCUGCUUAGCCCCACCCCGUCAGUGAGGUCACAGUUUCAGGUGAGGUCCUCAGGUGUGCUGAUGGUGCUGAUGUUGGGUUUUUUUUUUUCAGAAGCGGCUCUGUUUGGAGGCGGAGCUCCAGAUGUCCGACUGUCCAAUGGAGACGUCGCAGAGCAGUCCUGCGACCAAUCAGCAGCCGGAUCAACAGGUACGGCCCACACCUGUUCUGCUCUGCUGUCCGAGGUGUCUCAGAGGAGAACCGGGUCACUUCAACCACAUCAUGGGCCUCUGAAGCUCCACCCAUUCUCCUGCAACCAGCCGUCCAAUCACAUUGAUGCUUCAGGUGCUUCACUAAAAUGGUGCUGCUGGAAGAUGUCAUCAAGGCCCCACCCCACCUUCACAUCGUUGUCAAGGAGACGGUUUAACGUUUCCAUCCAGUGAUGCAUUCAGGACCAGCAGUACUCCUCAGACUUAAGUUCUGAAAUCUCUGAUGUCCUUGUAUCCCUGAACACACCACUGAGUGUGAGCGUUUACCUGAGCUUUAAGCCCACCCCCUCUCCUGUGUGAUAUGUGCAACAGUCCAAUCAAUGAUCAAUAACUGUGAUUGACGUGGUGGUGCGUUCACUGUCUCCGUUUAAAGGGCUUUCACACGGUGAAGACUUGUGAUGUGUUUACAGGAAAAAUGCCAGUAGAAUAUUUUUUAACUCCAGUAUAGAACCGACUGAAAGGCUUAACGAGGUGUUAAUGAGAGUUUACUAUAAGGGGAAGGAAAAUCCAUGUGGUUUUUCAAAAUAAGAGUCUUCGUGUCUGUACAUUUCUAUUUUUCUGAGGCAGAUUUGUAUAUUUUUUACUCUGAAUUUGACUGAAUGUAAAAGCAGCUCCCUAUUUUUGAUGACAUCACUUCCGCUAUCUGAGGCCAGCAUUUGUACUGAUUUCAGAAUAAAAGCUUUGACUGUGAA